GAUGAAGAACGCAGCGAAAUGCGAUAAGUAAUGUGAAUUGCAGAAUUCAGUGAAUCAUCGAAUCUUUGAACGCACAUUGCGCCCGCGAGUAUUCUCGCGGGCAUGCCUGUCCGAGCGUCAUUUCAACCCUCAGGGCCCGCCUGCUUCGGCAGGCGCGGCGCUGGUGUUGGGGAUCGGCCUAACCGCCGUCCCCCAAAUACAGUGGCGGUCUCGCUGCAGCCUCCCCUGCGUAGUAGCAACACUCGCAUGCGGAGCGCGGCGCGGCCACGCCGUAAAACCCCCGACUUUCUAAACGUUGACCUCGGAUCAGGUAGGAAUACCCACUGAACUUAAGCAUAUCAAUAAGCGGAGGA
rnacentral:misc_RNA from 1 species